rnacentral:rRNA from 1 species
GACGAACGCUGGCGGCGUGCUUAACACAUGCAAGUCGAGCGGUAAGGCCCUUUCGGGGUACGACGAGCGGCGAACGGGUGAGUAACACGUGGGUGACCUGCCCUUACGCUCUGGGAUAAGCCUGGGAAACUAGGGUCGUAAUACCGGAUAUGACUCCAUAACGCAUGUUGUGGGGUGGAAAGCCUUGUGCGGCUAGGGGUGGGCCCGCGGCCUAUCAGCUUGUUGGUGGGGUGAUGGCCUACCAAGGCGACGACGGGUAGCCGGCCUGAGAGGGCGACCGGCCACACUGGGA